rnacentral:snoRNA from 1 species
UUUGCACACUGCUAGAGCCCUGCUGUUUUGUCUGUGCAGUGCGUGGUGUAGAAUGUGUGCUAAAGAAAAAUGCCUGAUCUCCAACCUCCUUUCUCUGAACCACACAAGGGACUGGGAGUUGAGGUCUUGCAACAAAA